AUAAUUGAGGUUCAGUUUAACAAAGUAAGGUCAUCAUUUCUGUAUUCUUGUUGAUCUCAUGAUGCAAUACUUUUAGUUCUCAAUCUUGAUGAGUUUUAUCCACGUAUAUGAAGUUGAAAUGCCAAGUAAUGCAUCUGUACUAAGUUAAUUGUGUUAUUUAAGUAAUACACUCUGUUCUUUGUGUUUCUAUUCUUAUUAUUAUUACUUUUCCUGGUUAAGGAGGCAUCCUAUGCUAGUUGAGACCGAAUAGUGGCCCUAGUGCAUGAGGUCGUCUGUUUAUGCACAGAGCAGGCAAUAAACUGGACUAAUCAUUAUGGUGGCUAUGAAGGGAUUAUGGUAGGAAUUCAAAUAUAGGUUGGGGCUUCAAAUUUGGGUUGUCUUACUGUGCUCUUUAAACAAAUUAUCCUUACAUAACCUUUGCUUUUCUUGG
rnacentral:misc_RNA from 1 species